AAUAAGGUGCCUGAUUAAAGGGUUAUUUUGAUAGAAUAAAUUAUGUAUUUUUACCCUUAUUA
rnacentral:tRNA from 3 species